UGUCUUCUUGAAUAAUUAAUUUGUCAUAACCAUUAUUUAGUGUAAUUUAUUUUAAAAAAAAUUAUCCAAAUAAUUUUAAUUAUUAUCUUCUAUCUUCUACUAUCUUCUAUUAAUAUUUUUCCCUUUUAAAGUCACCAACAAAACCUAAAAAGACCAAAGCUCCAUCCCUUCUUUCUCUCCCACACGCAAUAAAUAAAAAGAGAACCUCAGAAGAAGUAACUGAGUGACGUCUGUCAUCUCUCUCUGGUGUCUCCCGUCACUCAACCCAGAAACCCCACCACCUAACAUUAUUAGGGUUAAACCCCAUAUCCUCCUACAAAUUACAGAACUCUCGUCCUCUGCGGUGUUUUCCGGUGCUUUCGAUUCCUACGAACGAGAUAUCUCCGACAGUUUCUCGGCGGAUAGUGCUCUUGCUUGGACUCUUGAGAGAUCCAGAAUACAUAGUUCGUCCAAUGAGCAAGAGACGUGAUGAUAAGGUUUUGAAGUGUGGAUAAGAGUUAAUUUUGCUGAUCAUUUUGAUUAUUAAGCCACAUUUAAGGUAACAUGC